AGUGAACGCUGGCGGUAGGCCUAACACAUGCAAGUCGAACGGCAGCACAGUAAGAGCUUGCUCUUACGGGUGGCGAGUGGCGGACGGGUGGGGAAUACAUCGGAAUCUACUUUUUCGUGGGGGAUAACGUAGGGAAACUUACGCUAAUACCGCAUACGACCUACGGGUGAAAGCAGGGGAUCUUCGGACCUUGCGCGAUUGAAUGAGCCGAUGUCGGAUUAGCUAGUUGGCGGGGUAAAGGUCCACCAAGGCGACGAUCCGUAGCUGGUCUGAGAGGAUGAUCAGCCACACUGGAACUGAGACACGGUCCAGACUCCUACGGGAGGCAGCAGUGGGGAAUAUUGGACAAUGGGCGCAAGCCUGAUCCAGCCAUACCGCGUGGGUGAAGAAGGCCUUCGGGUUGUAAAGCCCUUUUGUUGGGAAAGAAAAGCAGCAGGUUAAUACCCCGCUGUUCUGACGGUACCCAAAGAAUAAGCACCGGCUAACUUCGUG
rnacentral:rRNA from 1 species